UACGUAGGGUGCGAGCGUUAAUCGGAAUUACUGGGCGUAAAGCGUGCGCAGGCGGUUUUGUAAGCCAGAUGUGAAAUCCCCGGGCUCAACCUGGGAACUGCGUUUGAAACUACAAGGCUAGAGUGUAGCAGAGGGGGGUAGAAUUCCACGUGUAGCAGUGAAAUGCGUAGAGAUGUGGAGGAAUACCAAUGGCGAAGGCAGCCCCCUGGGUUAACACUGACGCUCAUGCACGAAAGCGUGGGGAGCAAACAGG
rnacentral:rRNA from 1 species